rnacentral:rRNA from 1 species
UGGGGAAUAUUGGACAAUGGGGGAAACCCUGAUCCAGCGACGCCGCGUGGGUGAAGAAGGCCUGCGGGUUGUAAAGCCCUUUCGGUAGGGACGAACGUGACGGUACCUGCAGAAGAAGCCCCGGCUAACUACGUGCCAGCAGCCGCGGUAAUACGUAGGGGGCAAGCGUUAUCCGGAUUCAUUGGGCGUAAAGCGCCCGUAGGCGGCUUGUUAAGUCAGAUGUGAAAACCGGGGGCUCAACCCGCGGCCUGCAUCUGAAACUGGCAGGCUUGAGUCUGGUAGAGGAAAGUGGAAUUCCUGGUGUAGCGGUGAAAUGCGCAGAUAUCAGGAGGAACACCAGUGGCGAAGGCGGCUUUCUGGGCCACGACUGACGCUGAGGCGCGAAAGCUAGGGGGAGCGGAACAGGAUUAGAUACCCUGGUAGUCCUAGCCGUAAACGAUGGGCACGUAGGUGUGGGAGGUCAUCGACUUCCUCGUGCCGAAGCUAACGCA